UGCAUCUGUAUUUAUUUAAAAAUGCUUUUGCAACCUGACACUGUUCAGCUUUUUUAUCUUUUACCAGUAUUUGGGGACUUAUUGGGGAUUCCUUUGAUAAUUUCAGGAAGAAAGAAGUGGAAUGGAAGGAGCCAGUAACUGUCCCAGGUCAGAAAACGCCUCUGAAAAGGAUCUACAUUACACCCAAAGUUCAUUGGAUAACUGCACCCUCAACAAUCAGGAGACAAUAAGUGGUGUAGACAGAGCUAAUAUCUUCCCCAAAUCAGAUGGUACCUCUGAAGACAUUCAGCAUUCCACAGACUGUUCACAGGUUGAGACUUUCCACAUUCAGGAGACAAUAAGUGGUACGAACCAAGCCAGUAACUGCCCCAAAUCAGAUGGUGCCUCUGAAGACAAUCAGCAUUGCACAGACAGUUCACAGCAUGACAGUAUCUUCCACAUUCAGGAGACAAUAAAGGGUAUGAACCAAGCCAGUAACUGCCCCAAAUCAGAUGGUGCCUCUGAAGACAAUCAGCAUUGCACAGACAGUCCACAGCAUGACAGUAUCUUCCACAUUCAGGAGACAAUAAAGGGUAUGAACCAAGCCAGUAACUGCCCCAAAUCAGAUGGUGCCUCUGAAGACAAUCAGCAUUGCACAGACAGUCCACAGCAUGACAGUAUCUUCCACAUUCAGGAGACAAUAAAGGGUAUGAACCAAGCCAGUAACUGCCCCAAAUCAGAUGGUGCCUCUGAAGACAAUCAGCAUUGCACAGACAGUUCACAGCAUGACAGUAUCUUCCACAUUCAGGAGACAAUAAAGGGUAUGAACCAAGCCAGUAACUGCCCCAAAUCAGAUGGUGCCUCUGAAGACAAUCAGCAUUGCACAGACCGUCCACAGCAUGACAGUAUCUUCCACAUUCAGUGGCUCUUGAUGUAGAACCACCCAUAGAUCCUUCUGCAAAAGAAGUCCAGAAAUCUUCAAUUGAACAAGCAACAGAAAUAACAAGUACCACAACUACCAUGAAAGGUACUGUUUGUUAAACUUCAUAGAAAGCCUUUAUGAACUUAAAAAUCUCUGUUUUUUCUGAUGUGCUUUGUUCAUUCAGGUCGAAAGGUGGUAAAGAAAAAGAAAUGGGACAGUGAUGAAAUGAAUGCAGUUGAAAAGCAUCUAAACAGGUUCAUCAAAACUUGUACAGUGCCAGGAAAACAACAAUGUGAGGCCUGUAUAAAUGCUGAACCUGUUGCCUUGAAAGACAGGGAUUGGUUGUCUGUAAAGUUCUUUGUGAAGAACAAAAUCACUACCCUUAAAAGAAGAAUGUAAAGUCAGUUAUUUUAUUUUGUUUGGUAUCUUAUUUUCUGGUAUUUUAGAUUUCUGGUUAUUACAUUUGUUUUAAAAGGAUCUUAGAAUCUCUUUUUUUUUUUUUUUUGGAAAUGGGUGCAAUUCAGUAAAGUGUCUUUGAAUCGAAUGUAAAUAUGUACAGAAUACUGUUCAGAAUGCUACAUAAAAAUAGCAAAAAAAAAUAAAUAUUUUAUUCAUGUUAUUAAAUUUUGAUCU
rnacentral:lncRNA from 1 species